GUGACAUCCGAUUUCAUUCGAAACUCGAUAGAAGGUCGACCGACGGUGGAUUUCGGAUGGCGUUGGAGAGGGUCACCCACUGGGAGGGGGUCUGGAGGGUUCUGAGGAAAUUUGGUUGGCACUGUUGAAGUCCAACUGACAUUAUUUGAGGCCGAUGGCUGGGAAGGUACGGCAGACGUCGGGGGCGAUUGGCUGUUGGGGGAGUCCGGCUGCUGGAACCCGUCUGUCGUAGAAGUUCGUCCGACAUCUAUCCGCUAUAGAAGUUCGGUCGGAGUCUGAUUCUCACA
rnacentral:lncRNA from 1 species